AGGCCCUUAGUUUAAUGGUAGAACAAGAGUCUCCAAAACUUUUGGUGGGAGUUCAAUUCUUUCAGGGCCUGCCA
rnacentral:tRNA from 1 species